UAGAUCCUACGGGGCGCAGCAGUGGGGAAUAUUGCGCAAUGGGGGCAACCCUGACGCAGCAACGCCGCGUGAUUGAAGAAGGCCUUCGGGUUGUAAAGAUCUUUAAUCGGGGACGAAUUUUGACGGUACCCGAAGAAUAAACUCCGGCUAACUACGUGCCAGCAGCCGCGGUAAUACGUAGGGAGCAAGCGUUAUCCGGAUUUACUGGGUGUAAAGGGUGCGCAGGCGGAAUGUCAAGUCAGCGGUAAAAUUUCGGGGCUCAACCCCGUCGUGCCGUUGAAACUGGCGUUCUUGAGUGAGCGAGA
rnacentral:rRNA from 1 species